CAGCCGCCGCGGUAAUACGUAGGUCCCGAGCGUUGUCCGGAUUUAUUGGGCGUAAAGGGAGCGCAGGCGGUUUAGUAAGUCUGAAGUUAAAGGCAUUGGCUCAACCAAUGUAUGCUUUGGAAACUGUUAGACUUGAGUGCAGAAGGGGAGAGUGGAAUUCCAUGUGUAGCGGUGAAAUGCGUAGAUAUAUGGAGGAACACCGGUGGCGAAAGCGGCUCUCUGGUCUGUCACUGACGCUGAGGCUCGAAAGCGUGGGUAGCGAACAGGAUUAGAUACCCCCGUAGUCCCUGUCUCUUAUACA
rnacentral:rRNA from 1 species